rnacentral:rRNA from 1 species
GACGAACGCUGGCGGCGUGCUUAACACAUGCAAGUCGAACGGAAAGGCCCUGCUUUUGUGGGGUGCUCGUGUGGCGAACGGGUGAGUAACACGUGAGUAAACUGCCCUUGACUUUGGGGUAACUUCAGGGAAAUGGGGCUCAUACAGGAUAGGAGCUUCUGCUGCGCGGUGGUGGAUGGAAAAAUUCGGCGGUUGGGGAUGGAAUCGCGGGUUAUGCGCUUGUUGGUGAGGUAGUGGAUUACAAAGGCUUCGACGGGUAGCCGGCAUUAGAGGGUGACCGGCCACAAUGGUACUGCGAGAGGCCCCAGUCUCCUACGGUAGGCAGCAGGCGGGAGUAUUGCGCAACGGCCGGAAGUCUGUGGCAGCAACGUCGCGUUCGGGAUGAUGUCCUACGGGUUGUAAACCGCUUUCGCCUGAGACGAAGCGUUAGUGACGGUAAUGGGUAAAGAAGUACCGGCUAACUACGUG